UACGUAGGGUGCAAGCGUUGUCCGGAAUUAUUGGGCGUAAAGAGCUUGUAGGCGGUUUGUCGCGUCUGCUGUGAAAUUUCGGGGCUCAACCCCGAACUUGCAGUGGGUACGGGCAGACUAGAGUGUGGUAGGGGAGACUGGAAUUCCCGGUGUAGCAGUGAAAUGCGUAGAGAUCGGGAGGAACAUCAGUGGCGAAGGCGGCUCUCUGGACCAGCACUGACACUGAGGCACGAAAGCGUGGGGAGCAAACAGG
rnacentral:rRNA from 1 species